rnacentral:rRNA from 1 species
AUCAAAAACAUAGCUUAAUGUUACUAUAUUAAGUUAUUUCUGCUCAAUGAAAUAUUAAAUAGCCGCAGUACUCUGACUGUGCAAAGGUAGCAUAAUCAUUUGGCUUAUAAUUGAAGUCUGGCAUGAAUGAAUUAAUGGGGAAUUACUGUCUUUUUGGGUUUUCAAGAACUUACUUAACAAGUGAAAAUACUUGUAAAUAAAUAAUAGACGAGAAGACCCUAGAAAUUUUUUUAAUAUUGGUUUUAUAUCUAAUUAAUUUUGCUGGGGCGGCAGAAUAACAUUAAACUUAUUUUAAUAAAUUUGAACUAUCUACUGAGUAAAAGUAAAUUACUCUAGGGAUAACAGCAUAAUUUUACAAAGUUUGUGACCUCGAUGUUGGACUAGGGACUUUAGUGUUUAGAAGAUACUAAAUCAGGCUCUGUUCGAGCCAUUUUCCCUACAUGAUCUGAGU